rnacentral:misc_RNA from 1 species
GCAAACUUGGUCAUUUAGAGGAAGUAAAAGUCGUAACAAGGUUUCCGUAGGUGAACCUGCGGAAGGAUCAUUAAUGAAUAACCUUGUUAGGUUGUUGCUGGCUCUAAUGGAGCAUGUGCACGCCUGACAUCAGUUUUUCAAACCCCUGUGCACUUUUUGUAGGCCUUAGAUGACUUUUGGGGGGGGGGGGCUCGCUUCAUGUAAAGCUGCUCUCUCUCCCGUUGUCUAUAGUCUAUGUCUCUAUAUACACCGAAUGUAUGUACUGGAAUGUCUUUUAAAGGCCUUGGUGCCUAUAAAUCUAAUACAACUUUCAACAACGGAUCUCUUGGCUCUCGCAUCGAUGAAGAACGCAGC